rnacentral:lncRNA from 1 species
UUUUUUGUAACUUCCAGACGAUGUGUAUAUUUAGAUAAGACUGUAUUUGAUUUAUUUUGAAUUUUUGUUAUUUGUUUUACAUGUAAAAAAGGUGAUGUAAAAAAAAAAGAAAAAAGAAAAAAGAAGAAAAGCAAAAAACAAAAAAAAACAAAAAAUAAAACAAAAUAAAAAUAAAAAAUGCAUGUUUGUAUUUAUUUCAGGGAUCUUUUUAUAAGGAGACGGCAAAAGAAUAAAGAAG